rnacentral:rRNA from 1 species
UACCACAUCCAAGGAAGGCAGCAGGCGCGCAAAUUACCCACUCCCGGCACGGGGAGGUAGUGACGAAAAAUAACGAUACGGGACUCAUCCGAGGCCCCGUAAUCGGAAUGAGAACAAUUUAAAUCCUUUAACGAGGAUCAAUUGGAGGGCAAGUCUGGUGCCAGCAGCCGCGGUAAUUCCAGCUCCAAUAGCGUAUAUUAAAGUUGUUGCGGUUAAAAAGCUCGUAGUCGAAUCUGUGUCCCGCGCCGCCGGUUCGUCGCUCGCGGCGUUUAACUGGCGUGUCCGCGGGACGUCCUGCCGGUUAGUGGCGCAACCCUUUCGCGAGGGUACGCCCAAUUAUAAUCCCGCUGCGGUGCUCUUUACCGAGUGUCGCAAUGGGCCGGCACGUUUACUUUGAACAAAUUAGAGUGCUUAAAGCAGGCUAAAACUUUGCCUGAAUACUUCGUGCAUGGAAUAAUGGAAUAGGACCUCGGUUCUAUUUUGUUGGUUUUCGGAACCCCGAGGUAAUGAUUAAUAGGAACGGAUGGGGGCAUUCGUAUUGCGACGUUAGAGGUGAAAUUCUUGGAUCGUCGCAAGACGGACAGAAGCGAAAGCANUGSCCCNAAAAACGA